GAUGAACGCUGGCGGCGUGCCUAAUACAUGCAAGUCGAGCGAACAGACGAGGAGCUUGCUCCUCUGACGUUAGCGGCGGACGGGUGAGUAACACGUGGAUAACCUACCUAUAAGACUGGGAUAACUUCGGGAAACCGGAGCUAAUACCGGAUAACAUGUUGAACCGCAUGGUUCAACAGUGAAAGACGGUCUUGCUGUCACUUAUAGAUGGAUCCGCGCCGCAUUAGCUAGUUGGUAAGGUAACGGCUUACCAAGGCAACGAUGCGUAGCCGACCUGAGAGGGGGAUCGGCCACACGGGAAGUGAGACACGGUCCAGACUCCUACGGGAGGCAGCAGUAGGGAAUCUUCCGCAAUGGGCGGAAGCCUGACGGAGCAACGCCGCGUGAGUGAAGAAGGUCUUCGGAUCGUAAAACUCUGUUAUUAGGGAAGAACAAAUGUGUAAGUAACUAUGCACGUCGUGACGGUACCUAAUCAGAAAGCCACGGCUAACUACGUG
rnacentral:rRNA from 1 species